UUUCAUGACAGGCUUGAUUUGGUCAGCUCCCAACACAGCACUACUACUCGUUCUUCCAUCAGAGAGAUUAUUCAAGUGCCAAGUACCAUCGCUUCCUAGUCUUCAUAUUUUCAAGCAAAACAACCUGUUCGACACUAUUUUUUACACUGCAUGUUAUAUGUUUCAGGAGCUCCUAGAGGACUGAUUUCCCAGAUGCAGAAAAGUGCCAUCCAUCUGUUGUUUUCUUGGGCGUUUUGACUUUUUUAUUCUCUCAGAACCAGAUGGAAACAUGUUCUGAAUAAAAGCCAGCCCUGUGUUUUCAUGCUGCAUUCCACCUACGUGGUUUGCCAGGCUGAGUUUCACAGAAACUCGUGUGUGCCAUCGAAGUUCACACACUUCCUGCACCUUUCACCUUGCGCCACGCCUCCAAUUUUCUCAGACCACGUGCUCUGGGGGAAGCCAGCUGCCAUGUCGUGAGGACAUAUCAAGCAGCCCUAUGGAGGGGCCCAUGUGGUGAGGAGCCAAGGCUUCCUGCCAACAGCUGUGUCCGUAAGCUUGGAAGCAGACCCUCCUACCCAAAUGAGGCUUCAGUUCCUGGCUCACAGCUACCGAAACCCUUGGAAUUUCCUGAGUGAUGGAGUGAUAAAGGUUCAUCCUGUUCUCCCACAUGGCUUGAUGCUUUGUCAGAGGUUCCUCUUGGGGACAGUGUUGCUCCAGAAAUGCCAAGAAGCCUGCACUCCCUCACCCCACCCCCAUCGACAUGGCCUUUUCUUCCACCCUUCGGGUCUGAAAACAAUGCCACCUAGUCCAAAGCUUCUGGAAAGCAGGCUGCCUGCUGCCUGGUUUGCGGGGAAACCUGCUCACUACUGCUGCACUUGCCUUUCUUCUUCGAAUCAGAAAUCAAUCUGAGCUCUAAACUGCAAACUUAGACAUCAUCUCUGGAAUUCCAUUUCUACUUUACCUAGGCUUUGUGAGUCCGCACUAGUUAACUCCACAUUAGGUCCCGCAAAUUUCCCGGGUUGUCAGGAAAUCCUGGAAGCUAAAGGCCUGGAGGAGGGCAUCAUCUCACAAUAGUGUUUUCUCUAACCUUUAGAAAAGUCAUCCAUGCUUUUUGCAAGUUUUGAAGAAAAGAAGGAACUAUGUUGUAGAAAUAAAUGGCA